UACGGAGGGUGCAAACGUUGCUCGGAAUCAUUGGGCGUAAAGGGCUCGUAGGCGGUCUGUUGCGUCGGGAGUGAAAACUUACAGCUUAACUGUGAGCGUGCUUUCGAUACGGGCAGACUUGAGGCAUUCAGGGGAGAACGGAAUUCCUGGUGUAGCGGUGAAAUGCGCAGAUAUCAGGAGGAACACCGGUGGCGAAGGCGGUUCUCUGGGAAUGUCCUGACGCUGAGGAGCGAAAGUGUGGGGAGCGAACAGG
rnacentral:rRNA from 1 species